rnacentral:lncRNA from 1 species
GACAAAACCAACCUGAAAAAUCAUCAAAACCUCAAAUAGACAUUUAAACCAAAAGUUUUGGAAACCACCACUUCCUCUAAUACCACCACAACUACAACAAAAUAUAACAAAAUUCGACUGAGUGCUUCUACAAGAUCAUCAUGUCAACAUGCAAGCAUUACAUCAAUUACAAACGUUUCUACGAAGUGCAUGACACACCAAAUAUUAGACAAGUACUUAAUAAACAUGAGUCCUCCAACUAUACAUUACAUACUAUGAAACGGUCUCUUUC